GUCACUAUAGUUUAACAAAAUAUUAGAAUGUGGACCUAAAGAUAGAAGUUUAACCCUUCUUAAUGACCG
rnacentral:tRNA from 1 species